CCUACGGGUGGCAGCAGUGGGGAAUAUUGCACAAUGGGGGCAACCCUGAUGCAGCGACGCCGCGUGAGUGAAGAAGUUCUUCGGUAUGUAAAGCUCUAUCAGCCGGGAAGAAAAUGACGGUACCUGUUUACUUCCCCGCGGCUCCCUACGUUCCACCAGCCGAGGUUCUACGCAGGGGGCAAGCGUUAUCCGGAUUUACUGGGUGUAAAGGGGGCGUAGACGGCAGCACAAGUCUGGAGUGAAAUGCCGGGGUUUAACCCCGGAACUGCUUUGGAAACUGUGCAGCUAGAGUGCAGGAGAGGUAAGUGGAAUUCCUAGUGUAGCGGUGAAAUGCGUAGAUAUUAGGAGGAACACCAGUGGCGAAGGCGGCUUACUGGACUGUAACUGACGUUGAGGCUCGAAAGCGUGGGGAGCAAACAGGAUUAGAUACCCUUGUAGUC
rnacentral:rRNA from 1 species